GGUUGAUGCUGGCGGUUUAGCUGCAUGUGCUCACUCUUCUGGUUUAUUUACACCUGUGCACUUAAUUCUUUCAAAGGGAGGGUAGAACCUGCCUUUGGAACUUAUAGACCCCCCUUGUAUUGAAACAAUGAAUGUUUAUCUGCCACAAGGCGAAUUUUAAUACAACUUUUAACAACGGAUCUCUUGGCUCUCGCAUCGAUGAAGAACGCAGCGAAAUGCGAUAAGUAAUGUGAAUUGCAGAAUUCAGUGAAUCAUCGAAUCUUUGAACGCACCUUGCGCUCUCUGGUAUUCCGGGGAGCACACCUGUUCGAGUGUCAUUGAAACUCUCAAAUAAAGGUGGUUUUUGCAGACCAUCUCUGUUUGGAUUUGGACUUUGCUGCAUUAAUGUGGCUAGUCUUAAAUGUAUUAGCUGAUCCUCAUUGAGGUUUUGGUUCUACUCAGCAUGAUAAUUAUCUAAUGUUGAGGACAGUCGCAAGACUGGCCAUGGCUCUCUUUGGAUUGCUUCUAAAUCGUCUUAAGGACAAUUGUUUAAUUUUCUGACCUCGAAUCAGGUGGGACUACCCGCUGAACUUAAGC
rnacentral:rRNA from 1 species